UGUACUGGAGCACCAGGAGCCCU
rnacentral:piRNA from 1 species